rnacentral:rRNA from 1 species
AAUAGAUACCCUGGUAGUCCUAGCCGUAAACGAUGGACACUAGGUGUUGGUGGUAUCAACCCCGCCAGUGCCGUAGCUAACGCAUUAAGUGUCCCGCCUGGGGAGUACGGCCGCAAGGCUAAACUCAAAGGGAAUUAGACGGGGGCCCGCACAAGCAGCGGAGCGUGGGGUUUAAUUCGAUGCAACGCGAAGAACCUUACCAGGGCUUGACAUGGUCAGGAAUCCGGCGGAAACGUCGGCGUCCCGCAAGGGACCUGAUCACAGGUGUUGCAUGGCUGUCGUCAGCUCGUGUCGUGAGAUGUUGGGUUAAGUCCCGCAACGAGCGCAACUCCUACUGUGUGUUGUAUCACUCACACGGGACUGCCGAGAGAAACUCGGAGGAAGGCGGGGAUGACGUCAAGUCAGCAUGGCCCUUACGGUCCUGGGCUACACCCACGCUACAAUGGCCGGUACAACGGGCUGCGAAACCGCGAGGUGGAGCCAAUCCCGUGAAAGCCGGUCUCAGUUCGGAUCGCAGGCUGCAACUCGCCUGCGUGAACGCC